UGGGGAAUUUUGGACAAUGGGCGCAAGCCUGAUCCAGCCAUGCCGCGUGCGGGAAGAAGGCCUUCGGGUUGUAAACCGCUUUUGUCAGGGAAGAAAUCUUCUGAGUUAAUACCUCGGGAGGAUGACGGUACCUGAAGAAUAAGCACCGGCUAACUACGUGCCAGCAGCCGCGGUAAUACGUAGGGUGCAAGCGUUAAUCGGAAUUACUGGGCGUAAAGCGUGCGCAGGCGGUUUUGUAAGACAGAGGUGAAAUCCCCGGGCUCAACCUGGGAACUGCCUUUGUGACUGCAAGGCUUGAGUGCGGCAGAGGGGGCAUGGAAUUCCGCGUGUAGCAGUGAAAUGCGUAGAUAUGCGGAGGAACACCGAUGGCGAAGGCAAUCCCCUGGGCCUGCACUGACGCUCAUGCACGAAAGCGUGGGGAGCAAAACAGGAUUAGAUACCCCUGGGUAGUCCACGCCCUAAAACGAUGUCAACUGGUUGUUGGGAAGGUUCCUUCUCAGUAACGUAGCUAACGCGUGAAGUUGACCGCCUGGGGAGUACGGCCGCAAGGUUGAAAC
rnacentral:rRNA from 1 species